rnacentral:rRNA from 1 species
AUUGAACGCUGGCGGCAUGCUUUACACAUGCAAGUCGAACGGUAACAGGUUAAGCUGACGAGUGGCGAACGGGUGAGUAAUGCAUCGGAACGUGCCCGGUCGUGGGGGAUAACGCAGCGAAAGCUGCGCUAAUACCGCAUACGAUCUGAGGAUGAAAGCGGGGGACCGUAAGGCCUCGCGCGAUCGGAGCGGCCGAUGUCAGAUUAGGUAGUUGGUGGGGUAAAGGCUCACCAAGCCAACGAUCUGUAGCUGGUCUGAGAGGACGACCAGCCACACUGGGACUGAGACACGGCCCAGACUCCUACGGGAGGCAGCAGUGGGGAAUUUUGGACAAUGGGCGCAAGCCUGAUCCAGCAAUGCCGCGUGCAGGAUGAAGGCCUUCGGGUUGUAAACUGCUUUUGUACGGAGCGAAAAAGUCUUUUUUAAUACAAAGGACUCAUGACGGUACCGUAAGAAUAAGCACCGGCUAACUACGUGCCAGCAGCCGCAGUAA